AUUCGCGUCUGCGAGCUCCGGAGUGACUUUCCCUUCCUGUGAAGGCAAUCCGGCCCUUUCCGGUGGAGGACCCUUCCCCCUGGGUUGAUCUUGAGGAACUUAAGAGACGGUGUUUUGACUCGACUCCUUUCCCCUUUUUCCUCCCGGUACCAAAGCGGUUUUGUUUGCUGUUUAUACUCUACCCCGUGGAAAGGCGGCUAGCUGGCUAAAGGGUUUUAUGCCUGGGGGAGGAUGAGUCGCUAUUUGGUCGUGACUUGUUUCUGUUUAAAAUUAUUAUUAUUUACCAAAUGAAAAUGUUGUACUUACCAGUCCAAAGUGCGGGGCUUAUAUUGUUAGAAGACCACUUAAAAUGCUCCUGGAUUCUGACAAAUAUUGCAUGAGAAAUUUGCAAUCAGCCGUGAAGCAUGUUUCCCCUUCUGAAAGUUUAACACGUGCCGUAUCUACGGCUGGGAUCUAACACAUCCCAUUCCUACAGGGCAGAACUUGCUGAAACUCCAACCUCUGGAAAUUACUGGAACCCUGCAUUCUAGAACUUGCUGGAAACCCACCCUCUGGAAUUGGCCUGCUAGAGUGCCUGAGAAGGAUGUUCAUAGGGAAAUGUUUCAGCAGAGGAACUCUACUACAAAAACCACAAGAGGGAGGGUGCCAGGGGAAGUGGCCUGGUGCUAUUGAAACUGCAACACAGAAGCCAGCCACUGGAGAGAGCUGCACAAGCUGCAGGAACACCCUACCCAGUAAGCCGGCCAGAAGGAGGGAGCAAAACCUUUUCUCUCUGCAACAUCUUUCCAGUUUCCUCUACUGGAAAAGCUUCAUUGCCAGCUGACAAAAGGAAAAAUACUUAAAUGGAUCAGAUCCAUUUUCACAGAGCAGUCAAUAAUGGUGAAUUUGGAGAUGAUAAGCAACAAAUUGAUGAACUGGCACAACUUCCCUGCUACUUUCUUGAUUGUAAUGCCUAGAUAGGGAAUAGGAAAGUUAUUGAAAUGUAUGUGUUCCCAUGAAAUGUGUUUAUUUGUUGUUCAAGAUCAAUACUAAUAAAUGGGGACUAAUGUUCUGAA
rnacentral:lncRNA from 1 species